rnacentral:rRNA from 1 species
GGGUGAGUAACGCGUAUGCAACCUGGCUGAUACAGGGGUAUAGCCCAUGGAAACGUGGAUUAAUCCCCCAUACCAUUAAUAUGUGGCAUCUUAUAUUAAUGAAAUCUUCGGAGGUAUCAGAUGGGCAUGCGUCCUAUUAGCUAGUUGGCGGGGUAACGGCCCACCAAGGCGAUGAUAGGUAGGGGUUCUGAGAGGAAGGUCCCCCACAUUGGAACUGAGACACGGUCCAAACUCCUACGGGAGGCAGCAGUGAGGAAUAUUGGUCAAUGGCCGGAAGGCUGAACCAGCCAAGUCGCGUGAGGGACGACUGCCCUAUGGGUUGUAAACCUCUUUUAUAAGGGAAGAAUAAAUGCUACGUGUAGCAUGAUGCCUGUACCUUAUGAAUAAGCAUCGGCUAACUCCGUGCCAGCAGCCGCGGUAAUACGGAGGAUGCGAGCGUUAUCCGGAUUUAUUGGGUUUAAAGGGUGCGUAGGCGGUUUUUUAAGUUAGUGGUUAAACGUCGGGGCUUCACCUUGAUUUGCCAUUAAUACUGUAAGACUCGAGUUCAGACGAGGUAGGCGGAAUAAGUUAAGUAGCGGUGAAAUGCUUAGAUAUAACUUAGAACUCCGAUAGCGAAGGCAGCUUACCAGACUGCGACUGACGCUGAAGCACGAGAGCGUGGGUAGCGAACAGGAUUAGAUACCCUGGUAGUCCACGCCGUAAACGAU